rnacentral:rRNA from 1 species
GACGAACGCUGGCGGCGUGCUUAACACAUGCAAGUCGAACGGAAAGGCCCUGCUUUUGUGGGGUGCUCGAGUGGCGAACGGGUGAGUAACACGUGAGUAACCUGCCCUUGACUUUGGGAUAACUUCAGGAAAAUGGGGCUAAUACCGGAUAGGAGCUCCUGCUGCAUGGGGGGGGUUGGAAAGUUUCGGCGGUUGGGGAUGGACUCGCGGCUUAUCAGCUUGUUGGUGGGGUAGUGGCUUACCAAGGCUUUGACGGGUAGCCGGCCUGAGAGGGUGACCGGCCACAUUGGGACUGAGAGACGGACCAGACUCCUACGGGAGGCAGCAGUGGGGAAUAUUGCACAAUGGGCGGAAGCCUGAUACAGCAACGCCGCGUGCGGGAUGACGGCCUUCGAGUUGUAAACCGCUUUCGCCUGUGACGAAGCGUGAGUGACGGUAAUGGGUAAAGAAGCACCGGCUAACUACGUG